rnacentral:snRNA from 1 species
UAGCUUACCUGGCAGGGGAGACAUCAUGGAGGUGGUUUUCCCAGGGUGAGCCUUAUCUAUUGCACUCCAAGUGUACUGACCCCUGCAAUUUCCCCAAGUGCAGGAAACUUGACUGCAUAAUUUGUUGUACUGAGUGACUGCAUUUGUGCUUUCCUCU